rnacentral:rRNA from 1 species
UACGAAGGGUGCAAACGUUGCUCGGAAUUAUUGGGCGUAAAGCGCACGUAGGCGGCUUUGCAAGUCGGAUGUGAAAUCCCUCGGCUCAACCAAGGAAGUGCAUCCGAAACUGCAGAGCUUGAGUACUUAAGAGGAUCGCGGAAUUCCCGGUGUAGAGGUGAAAUUCGUAGAUAUCGGGAGGAACACCAGUGGCGAAGGCGGCGAUCUGGGAAGAUACUGACGCUGAGGUGCGAAAGUGUGGGGAGCAAACAGG